rnacentral:tRNA from 1 species
CAGGGCGUAGCUCAGUCUGCGCAGAGCACCAGUCUUGGGAACCGGGGGUCGCAGGUUCAAUUCCUGCCGCCCUGACCA